UACGAAGGGGGCUAGCGUUGUUCGGAUUUACUGGGCGUAAAGCGCACGUAGGCGGAUUGUUAAGUCGGGGGUGAAAUCCUGGAGCUCAACUCCAGAACUGCCUUCGAUACUGUAGAGCUUGAGUUCGGGAGAGGUGAGUGGAACUGCGAGUGUAGAGGUGAAAUUCGUAGAUAUUCGCAAAGAACACCAGUGGCGAAGGCGGCUCACUGGCCCGAUACUGACGCUGAGGUGCGAAAGCGUGGGGAGCAAACAGGG
rnacentral:rRNA from 1 species